UACGUGGGGUGCGAGCGUUAUCCGGAUUUACUGGGCGUAAAGCGUACCGUCGGCGACUUGGUAAGUCUUUUGUCUAAGCCUGGGGCUCAACUCCAGAUCGGCAGGAGAAACUACCAAGAUUGAGUCUGUUCGGGGAACUUGGAAUUCUCGGUGGAGGGGUGAAAUCCGUAGAUAUCGAGAGGAACGCCAAGCGCGAAGGCAGAGUUCUAGGACAUGACUGACGCUCAGGGACGAAAGCUAGGGGAGCAAAAGGG
rnacentral:rRNA from 1 species